GGGAACUAAUCUUAUUUGUUGUUGGGGAAAGAUGUAACCUCUAAACUCUCUUUUAUUGAAACUCUUGUUUAUUUAUAUGAUUUUCAUAUGCUUCGAUUAUCAAUUGUUGGGUUCUCAUCUGUGCUUAAUGCUUUUAUCGUUUAACUCAUUCGAUAACUGUUGUUUGUCUUUAUUGAUACAUGGACGUACAAUAAUGUCA
rnacentral:lncRNA from 1 species